rnacentral:rRNA from 1 species
UUGAAAGGGAAACGAUUGAAGUCAGUCGUACCGACGAGAAAUCAGCUUAUCGUGCGUUAACUUGUGGGCGUGCGCGAGUUUCGGCCUCGCUGUUUGCAUGUUUGUGCGCUUUGGGUGUACUUUUUCGUAUGGUUGGCCAACAUCAGUUUCGAUUACUAUAAAAUGACUGGCGGAAUGUAGCUUCGAUUUCGGUUGAAGUGUUAUAGCCUCUGGUAGAUGUGGUGAUUAAGACUGAGGAUUACAACGAAUAUCCUUUGGGCUAUCCGUCUGGCCUCUGAAAGUUGCUUGGGUGCUGAAAGCUUGCUUAUGGUUAUCUAAGUUAACGGUCAAUAGGUUAGAACGUGAUUACAUUCGUUAAGGAUGUUGACGUA